rnacentral:rRNA from 1 species
AUGGAGGUGAUGGGUAUUUCGAAUCUUUGGUUGGAACCUUCAUUUUGCGUUAAAUUCACAUGGUAUUCAGUUAUCUCCAUUAUUGCCAGUAGCAAUGCACAAGCACUUUCUAUUAAAUGCACAUGCUAUUUUCUUUUGUAUCAUGUCAUUUUGUGGUCAUUAACAAUCAGAUGGAUGAAACUGAUCUUGUUUUGUGCAUCAUGGAUUUUCUCAACUGAAUGA